rnacentral:rRNA from 1 species
GCGCACCAGGCGAGAAAACUUUACAAUGUGCGAAAGCACGAUAAGGGAACUCUGAGUGCCUCCUAAGGAGGCUGUUCAGGUGUCUAAAAAGCACCUGGAGUAAGGGCUGGGUAAGACCGGUGCCAGCCGCCGCGGUAACACCGGCAGCCCAGGUGGUAGCCACUUUUAUUGGGUCUAAGGCGUCCGUAGCCGGUUGAGUAAGUUCCUUGGGAAAUUUGGCUGCUCAACAGUCAAGCUUCCAGGGAAUACUGCUCGACUUGGGACUGGGAGAGGUCAGAGGUACUCCAGGGGUAGGGGUGAAAUCCAUUAAUCCCUGGGGGACCACCGGUAGCGAAGGCGUCUGACCAGACCAGGUCCGACGGUGAGGGACGAAGGCUAGGGUCGCGAACCGGAUUAGAUACCCCUGUAGU